GUGGGAGGGGGCUUGCCCCCGAUAGCAGUGGAUCAGCCAGCACAUAUUCAGCUGACACAUCGCAAUCGGGGGCAAGCCCCCUCCCAC
rnacentral:misc_RNA from 1 species